rnacentral:rRNA from 1 species
AUUGAACGCUGGCGGCAGGCCUAACACAUGCAAGUCGAACGAGUGGCGGACGGGUGAGUAAUGUCUGGGAAACUGCCCGAUGGCGGGGGAUAACUACUGGAAACGGUAGCUAAUACCGCAUACCAUUAGCUGUGCCCAGAUGGGAUUAGCUUGUUGGUGGGGUAACGGCUCACCAAGGCGACGAUCCCUAGCUGGUUUGAGAGGAUGACCGGCCACACUGGGACUGAGACACGGUCCAGACUCCUACGGGAGGCAGCAGUGGGGAAUAUUGCACAAUGGGCGCAAGCCUGAUGCAGCCAUGCCGCGUGUAUGAAGAAGGCCUUCGGGUUGUAAAGUACUUUCAGCGGGGAGGCGUUACCCGCAGAAGAAGCACCGGCUAACUCCGUGCCAGCAGCCGCGGUAAUAC